AGAGUGUAGUGCAGCCAAGGAUGACUUGCCGGCAUUAGCCAAGUGAAUGAGCAUCAUAUAUAUAUAUAUAUAUAUAUAUAUAUAUAUGACUCAUGUUCUUGUCGGCAAGUUGGCCUUGGCUAUAUUGGACUCUCU
rfam:Glycine max cultivar Williams 82 chromosome 10, whole genome shotgun sequence.